CUACCCCGGAGAAGGAGCCUGGGAAACUGCGACUACAUCCAAGGAAGGCAGCAGGCGCGCGAAUUACCCAAUGCCGACACGGGGAGGGAGUGACAAUAAAUACUGAUACAGGGCUCUUUUGGGUCUUGUAAUCGGAAUGAGUACAAUUUAAAUCCCUUAACGAGGAACAAUUGGAGGGCAAGUCUGGUGCCAGCAGCCGCGGUAAUUCCAGCUCCAAUAGCGUAUAUUAAAGUUGUUGUGGUUAAAAAGCUCGUAGUUGAACCUUGGGCCUGGCUGGCCGGUCCCCCUCACCGGGUGCACUGAUCCAGCCGGGCCUUUCCCUCUGU
rnacentral:rRNA from 1 species